CACCGCGGUUAUACGGGAUGGCCCAAAUUGACAGGUAUCGGCGUAAAGGGUGGUUAUGAUUUUAAUAAGAUAAAGACAAAUGCCUUCAGAGCUGUGCUACGCAAUUGAAGGUGAGGAAGCCCGACUACGAAAGUGACUUUAAAAAUUCCGACCCCACGAAAGCUGAGACC
rnacentral:rRNA from 1 species